UACAGAGGUCCCGAGCGUUGUUCGGAUUCACUGGGCGUAAAGGGUGCGUAGGUGGUGAGGUAAGUCGGAUGUGAAAUCUCCGGGCUCAACCCGGAAAUGGCAUUGGAAACUACCUUGCUUGAGGAUUUGAGGGGGGAUUGGAAUACUUGGUGUAGCAGUGAAAUGCGUAGAUAUCAAGUGGAACACCAGUGGCGAAGGCGAAUCCCUGGAAAAUACCUGACACUGAGGCACGAAAGCUAGGGGAGCAAACGGG
rnacentral:rRNA from 1 species